GACGAACGCUGGCGGCGUGCUUAACACAUGCAAGUCGAACGAUGAAGAAAAGACUCGAAGCUUCGGCAGAAAUUCAUUUCGGAUUAGUGGCAGACGGGUGAGUAACGCGUGAGCAACCUACCUCUUACAAAGGGAUAGCCUCGGGAAACCGGGAUUAAUACCAUAUAACAUUGCGACGAAGCAUUUCGAUGCAAUCAAAGCUACGGCGGUAAGAGAUGGGCUCGUGUCCCAUUAACCGGAUGGUGAGGUAACGGCUCACCAUAGUGACGAUGGGUAACCGGCCUGAGAGGGUGAACGGUCACACUGGAACUGAGACACGGUCCAGACUCCUACGGGAAGCAGCAGUGGGGAAUAUUGCACAAUGGAGGGAACUCUGAUGCAGCGACGCCGCGUGAGUGAUGAAGGAAUUCGUUUCGUAAAACUCUGUUCUAUGGGAAGAAAAGGACUGUACCAUAGGAGAAAGCUCCGGCUAAAUACGUG
rnacentral:rRNA from 1 species